rnacentral:tRNA from 1 species
GCCCCUGUGGCCUAAUGGAUAAGGCAUCGGCCUCCUAAGCCGGGGAUAAUAGGUUCUAGUCCCACCAGGGGUA